UCUAAUAUGGCAGAUAAAUGCAUUGGAUUUAAACCCCAUUUAUAAAGAUUUUAAUCUUUUUUUAGAA
rnacentral:tRNA from 1 species